rnacentral:rRNA from 1 species
GGCUACACACGUGCUACAAUGGGUAGUACAGAGAGUCGCAAAGCCAUGAGGUGGAGCUAAUCUCAGAAAACUAUUCUUAGUUCGGAUUGUACUCUGCAACUCGAGUACAUGAAGUUGGAAUCGCUAGUAAUCGCGAAUCAGCAAUGUCGCGGUGAAUACGUUCUCGGGUCUUGUACACACCGCCCGUCACACCACGAGAGUUGGUUGCACCUGAAGUAGCAGGCCUAACCGCAAGGAGGGAUGCUCCGAGGGUGUGAUUAGCGAUUGGGGUGAAGUCGUAACAAGGUAUCCGUACGGGAACGU